rnacentral:rRNA from 1 species
ACUCAAAGGAAUUGACGGGGGCCCGCACAAGCGGUGGAGCAUGUGGUUUAAUUCGAUGCAACGCGAAGAACCUUACCUACCCUUGACAUCCACAGGAUUUUGCAGAGAUGCAGAAGUGCCGAAAGGAACUGUGAGACAGGUGCUGCAUGGCUGUCGUCAGCUCGUGUUGUGAGAUGUUGGGUUAAGUCCCGUAACGAGCGCAACCCUUGUCCCUGGUUGCCAGCGCGUAAAGGCGGGGACUCCAGGGAGACUGCCGGUGAAGAACCGGAGGAAGGCGGGGACGACGUCAAGUCAUCAUGGCCUUUAUGGGUAGGGCUACACACGUGCUACAAUGGUGCGUACAGAGGGUCGCGAACCCGCGAGGGGGAGCCAAUCUUUUAAAGCGCAUCGUAGUCCGGACUGGAGUCUGCAACUCGACUCCACGAAGUCGGAAUCGCUAGUAAUCGCGAAUCAGAAUGUCGCGGUGAAUACGUUCCCGGGCCUUGUACACACCGCCCGU